rnacentral:rRNA from 1 species
GACGAAACAAGUGAUGUGGAGUAAAACUUAAGAAAAGCGACCUCAGUUCGGAUUGAAGGCUGAAAUUCGCCUUCAUGAAGUCGGAAUUGCUAGUAAUGGCAGGUCAGCAUACUGCCGUGAAUACGUUCCCGGGCCUUGUACACACCGCCCGUCACACCAUGAGAGUUGGAGAUACCCGAAGCCUAUGAGCUAACUUUUAGAGGCAGUAGUCGAAGGUAGAAUCAAUGAUUGGGGUGAAGUCGUAACAAGGUACC